UAACGCAUUUAUGAGAUUAGUAAUUCUUCUAUGGUUCAAGAUGGUUUCUAUUUAAAAUCACGUUUUCCUUUAUUAAUAUGUGUGCACUUUUUAACAGCUUGCAGAGUAACAUCACUUGCGGACACGGAUUCAGAAGAAGCGCUGCGACGCCAGAUUCCAUAAAUUUGACGUUAUUGAUUCCUUCUUCGGAUCAGAAUGAUUGUAUUCCUGAAUUAAUUUAUAUUUAUAUAACACUGAACUGAAAAGAAAUAAGUAAAGAAGAA